AUUGAACGCUGGCGGAAUGCUUCACACAUGCAAGUCGAACGGCAGCACGGGGGCAACCCUGGUGGCGAGUGGCGAACGGGUGAGUAAUACAUCGGAACGUGCCCAGUCGUGGGGGAUAACGUAGCGAAAGUUACGCUAAUACCGCAUACGAUCUACGGAUGAAAGCGGGGGACCGUAAGGCCUCGCGCGAUUGGAGCGGCCGAUGGCAGAUUAGGUAGUUGGUGAGGUAAAGGCUCACCAAGCCGACGAUCUGUAGCUGGUCUGAGAGGACGACCAGCCACGCUGGGACUGAGACACGGCCCAGACUCCUACGGGAGGCAGCAGUGGGGAAUUUUGGACAAUGGGCGCAAGCCUGAUCCAGCCAUUCCGCGUGCAGGACGAAGGCCUUCGGGUUGUAAACUGCUUUUGUACGGAGCGAAAAGGUUUCCUCUAAUACAGGGGGCUGAUGACGGUACCGUAAGAAUAAGCACCGGCUAACUACGUGCCAGCCGCCGCCGUAA
rnacentral:rRNA from 1 species